GAGCUAGGGCACAGGUCGAGGUAACCAAGAGUACAAGUUAGAGGGUUCAGUUCUAGAACAAAGCCUUGGAGCCCCUUGCAAAACUAAGACAGUAUGAAAUAUGUCAUUUCAGCACAACACAGCUGGCCUUGCCCCUUCUUGUAGGAGCUUUGGAUAGGACUGGUUAACUUCUAUCAAUAGGAACACCCUAAAUUUGGAGGUUAACAUUGCUGGAAGGGCCAGAACAGUAACAACCAAGUUAAUAAUUAAGGUUAAUUAGUGGGGAUUUUAGCCUUUCAAGAAGAGGGUCUUAUUCUUUUUUGAGAUAGAGGAUAGGAGAAGCCCCAGCCUAAGGUUCUUUCUUCUACCAUCCAGAACUACUUUGAGCUGAGAGGAAGGGACUAACCAGUGUUGGCCUGCAUUAGUGUAACCUUAGAGGUGAAACUGACUUAUUUUUUAGGUAGUCCUGGGUUAUCCAGUAUAAAUCCUCUGAAUUAAGGGGAACCAUCUAACGGAAUAGUUGACCAUAUGUAAAAUACCUUGCUUAAGAUUAUAUCACAUUAAUCAGUUUCUACUUAAAUUUCCAUGAUGAGUAAAGGGGAUUGGGAAGAGGUACACACCAAGAGAAUCUUCCUAUGGCCUUGACAACUACAAAUAAUAUACUCUCUACUGUGCCUCUUCUCAUGAAUAGCUAUUGGCAGCUUCAGCCUUACUUGGAUCUUCACCAAAGUAAGUCCACAGCUCCUCACUUAAGAACAGUAUGGUAUGAGGUGUCAGAAUGUUUCAGGAAACCAAAUGUAUGAUCUGCAAGAAGAAAAUAACUCCAAGGAGAGAUGAGCUCUGCCUUCAAUUCAUUAAGGAUUUUUGGAUGAAACAUCUGCAGAGGGCCUGGAAGACUCACUGGUAAGAACUUGGAGCAGAGAUGAGCAAAGUCAAGAACUUUCUGACUAAUACAAGGAGCAGAAGUGAAAACGGAACUUGACAUGAUUGAUAAAACAUCAGAGGAUCUUGUCUAUAGGUAAGUAUCUUUCAUUUGUAUAAGAUAAUCAAAUCAAGUCUGUCUGCUGCUCAUCAAUGAAGGUGGGAGUGAGAUUCAAGAGGAAAUAAGUGCUAGAGACAA